AGCGAACGCUGGCGGCAUGCCUAACACAUGCAAGUCGAACGAACCUUUCGGGGUUAGUGGCGGACGGGUGAGUAACACGUGGGAACGUGCCUUUAGGUUCGGAAUAACUCAGGGAAACUUGUGCUAAUACCGAAUGUGCCCUUCGGGGGAAAGAUUUAUCGCCUUUAGAGCGGCCCGCGUCUGAUUAGCUAGUUGGUUGAGGUAAUGGCUCACCAAGGCGACGAUCAGUAGCUGGUCUGAGAGGAUGAUCAGCCACAUUGGGACUGAGACACGGCCCAAACUCCUACGGGAGGCAGCAGUGGGGAAUCUUGCGCAAUGGGCGAAAGCCUGACGCAGCCAUGCCGCGUGAAUGAUGAAGGUCUUAGGAUUGUAAAAUUCUUUCACCGGGGACGAUAAUGACGGUACCCGGAGAAGAAGCCCCGGCUAACUUCGUG
rnacentral:rRNA from 1 species